rnacentral:rRNA from 1 species
UACAGAGGGGGCAAGCGCUGUUCGGAAUUACUGGGCGUAAAGGGCGCGUAGGCGGCCUGCUAAGUCGAACGUGAAAUCCCUGGGCUCAACCCAGGAACUGCGUCCGAUACUGGUUGGCUUGAAUCCGGGAGAGGGAUGCGGAAUUCCAGGUGUAGCGGUGAAAUGCGUAGAUAUCUGGAGGAACACCGGUGGCGAAGGCGGCAUCCUGGACCGGCAUUGACGCUGAGGCGCGAAAGCCAGGGGAGCAAACAGG